rnacentral:rRNA from 1 species
CCCUCGGGAAACUGAGGUUAAUAUCUGAUAGGAGAUUUAUACUGGAAAGAUUAAUCUUUAAAAUUCGAGCCUAAGGAUGGGGCUGCGGUGGAUUAGGUUGUUGGCGGGGUAAUAGCCCACCAAGCCUUUGAUCCAUAGGGGCUCUUAGCGGAGAAGCCCCGAGAGGGAAUCUGAGACACUAUUCCCAGCCCUACGGGGUGCAGCAGUUAGGAAUAUUCUGCAAUGCGCGUAAGCGUGACAGAUUGAGUCAGAGUGCGCUUCAAUUUGGAGUGCUUUUGCUAAAUGUAAAAAGUUUGGCGAAUAAGGACUGGGUAAGACGAGUGCCAGCCGCCGCGGUAAUACUCGCGGUCCAAGUCGCAGCCAUUUUUAUUGGGUCUAAAACAUCCGUAGCUUGCUUGGUGAGUUCCUUGUGAAAUUCUAUAUCUCAAAUAUGGAGCGUGCAGGGAGUACUGCCAAGCUAGAGACUGGAAGACGUAACGAGUACGUUUGGAGUAGCGGUAAAAUGUGUUAAUCCCGGACGGACUAACAAUAGCGAAGGCACGUUACGAGGACAGUUCUGACAGUAAGGGAUGAAGGCUAGGGGCGCAAAACGGAUUAGAUACCCGUGUAGUCCUAGCAGUAAACACUGCACACUAAACAUUAGUACCUCCUCGAGAGGUAUUGGUGCUGAAGGGAAGCCGAAGAGUGUGCUACCUGGGAAGUAUAGUCGCAAGGCCGAAACUUAAAGGAAUUGGC